GAGGAAAGAGAUUGAGACGGAAAGAGAUAGAGGGCACUAUCCCCUCACCAGACAAAAUAUAUACCCCUAAGUCACUCCCAAUUAUCUACCUCCUCCAGGCACACCCUACCUGCCUUCGGUUACCACCCAGUUAAUUCCUACCAGGGGAUUAAUUCACCAAUUGGAUUAAUGCUCCCCUAACACAACUAUUUCACUUCUAAAUCUUGCAUUAUCUUGCACACACGUGAGCUUUUGGGGGACAUCUCACAUCUAAAUCAUGACAAAAGAAAAGGUGAUCAUGAUAGGCAUGGGAAAUAAGAUGUAACUGCUAAUAUAGGAAAUAAAAUGCAAUUUGUCCCAAAGAGCAAAAUAAAUCAAAGGACAUUUGCAGUCCUUUAAUUUGCUUUCUAGCUUCUUAGAACACAUAAUACAUCUAAAAGGUUAUCUUUCUACCUGAGCAUGAGGUAGUCUAUUGAUAAUGUAUUUCUAGAUAUUUUUCUUCUUACACACUAGCCGCCUCAUUGCUCAGUGUCAGAGAACAUAUCAUUCUCCCUGUGUGGUGACAUCUCAGUCCUCAUAGAGUAAAAAUUCCCUUGCCUUUUCUGAUUUGUGUUUACAUCAGAAUGGUAGGGCAAGUUCUUGUACACAUCUCAUAUGCUGUGGCAGAAAAGCCCCAGGGGCAAAGGUGAGCAACUUAAUAAUAGUGCAGCUGAGGAGAAAUUUAUAAAGUUACACUUCCUGGAAUUCAGUCAUCUAGAAACCACUGGAAUAAAACAUUGAGUUGAGGGAUUUUGAUGUGACAAACAAGAGAUAUCUGAUAACAGUCCACAUGAUUUACACCUUUAUUACCUGUUCAUGACUUCCAUUAAGUGCAGACUGAGUCUUCAAGUUGGUGCUGCUGUAAUCUCUAUAAAAGAAUUAACUUGAAAGAGUUAGUUAAAUAGCUACAGAUCUUUCUACUGCACCUAGUCCCAAUGUUACAAUUAUAUCCAUUAUAUCCCUGUAUUGUACUUUCAAGUACUUUAACAGGUCCAGGUUCUUUGCCUGGAGCGUGGCCAGACUGAUACUGCUAAAAGUUGAAGCCUUCAGCUGCUUUAUUCUUCUUGAGUGAUAGAUGUCAUAACCAGCCAUUUAUAGUUAUCAUUACUCAUGGAAACAUAAAGUAACUUAAAGGAAGCUUUCUAGAUUUGUAGAUGUCCUAAAUUGUAUCCCUAUUGUAUAUCUGGAAACUCCUUAGUAUUUCAGAGUGGUAACUUUUAUUUUCAGCCUGGCUAUUCACCAGUGUAGGUUUAGGUUCAAUGCAGUACUUAGUCUCUUCCCUGGUAGAAGCAUCUUCCAUGGGUACAAGGAUUUCUACCCCAUAAGCCCAAUAUUUCAGAGAUGGGAAGCAAAAUGUCUGCAAGUGCUGCACUGGCAAUGAUGCUGAGAAGGGUCAGUCCUUCUUGCACCCCUUGUUUCCUGG
rnacentral:lncRNA from 1 species